rnacentral:rRNA from 1 species
AUGGUGCAAACUACUCACAAGAGAAAAUUGCCUAUGGUGGUCCUCAAGUUAGACUUUCAGAAGGCCUUUGACACAGUUAGCUGGUCUGCUCUGUUUAGUAUUAUGGAGGCUCGAGGUUUCCCUCAAUGAUGGAUUACCAGGAUUCAUGAUAUUCUGACCUCGGCGACUUCUCGGGUUAUGGUCAAUGGGGAGCUUGGUGAUUCCAUUCUUGCCAAGAGAGGGCUAAGGCAGGGGGACUCCAUAUCUCCGUGCCUAUUCAUUUUGGUUGCUGAUGUUCUACAGAGACUUUGCUGCUCAUAG